rnacentral:misc_RNA from 1 species
GAAAUGCGAUAAGUAAUGUGAAUUGCAGAAUUCAGUGAAUCAUCGAAUCUUUGAACGCACCUUGCGCUCCUUGGUAUUCCUUGGAGCAUGCCUGUUUGAGUAUCAUGAAAUCUUCAAAGUAAAUCUUUUGUUAACUCAAUUGGUUUCUACUUUGGUAUUGGAGGUCUUUGCAGCUUCACACCUGCUCCUCUUUGUUCAUUAGCUGGAUCUCAGUGUUAUGCUUGGUUCCACUCGGCGUGAUAAGUUAUCUAUCGCUGAGGACACUGUAAAAGGUGGCCAAGGUAAAUGCAGAUGAACCGCUUCUAAUAGUCCAUUGACUUGGACAAUACUUUCAUGAUCUGAUCUCAAAUCAGGUAGGACUACCCGCUGAACUUAAGC